CCCCGUCGGGCUCCGCCGCGCCCCCAGGUGAGUGACUGGCUGCGCGAGGGCUCGAGCUGGGCCACCUUCGGGGACCCAGGCCUCUGGGAACGCUCCCCUCUGGGCCAGGUGCGUAGGGGGCGGAAGGGCAGGCAGCGCAGGUGGAGCAGCGCGGGCGGGAGCCGACCAGGCGCUUCCUCUGCCCCUGUAGCCCCCAAAGUCCGAGGCGCCGCGGAGGAGGGGCCGGGCUGGGUACAGGCAGGGUGGCCCCGGCCCAGGAGCCUGGCGGCCGGAGUGCGGAUUGCUCAUCUGAGAAUCUGGGAAUCCGGAAUGAACUAGAAGGGAACGGAGGCGCUGCCCUGGCCGAGUCGCUGCCCCGCGCGCCCUCCUAGAGCACCGAAGUCCUGCCCGGCCACGGGACCGGGAGCUGCCGCAGCGUCAGCCUGAGCCCGGAGCAGGGCUUGCGCCCGCGGUGCGGGGGGUCUCUCCGCCGCCCCGCUAGGCUCCUGCCGUGCCCUCCCUGCCCUUUGUUGUGUAAUGAGACCUGUGGCGGCUCCACUGAGACCCACACGUGCAACUCCACGCCUCUGCGUUAAAGGAGGCGAAACGCAGCGGCCCUGAGAACCCCCGAGACCCCGGUGUCUUAGCAGAGGCGCCUCGGAUGCGGAGGGGCGCGGGGUCGGCGCUACCCCAGAGGAAAAGCCCAGCGGAGCCAGGCUUGGCCGCAGCCGGCAGCGGCGGUGUGCGCCGGGCCUUCUGCCUUGGAUCCUCCGCAGUCGGCACUGCUUGCCUGCUCGGAUUCGAACCCCGAUGCGGCUCCCAGGGGUCCAGGGUGCCCAGUCCUACAGCCAGCUCGCCGCCACCGGAGCCCCUGCCGGAGGAAGCGCUCCCUAGUCGCCGCUGCGGCUGUUUCUGGCAAAAGCGUAACCACACUGUGAUCAUUUACCCUCUUUCUUGGAAGGUGGAUUCCUUCCAGAAGACGCCCUAAGCAUUGGUCCAGCUGCCUCUCAGCCCGACCCUGACCAGCCGUGGGGAGCCACGCCCAUCCCAGA
rnacentral:lncRNA from 1 species